ensembl:snRNA U2 U2 spliceosomal RNA
AAGGGCACUGGGCCUUUUGGCUAAGAUCAAGUGUAGUAUCUGUUCUUAUCAAUUUAAUGUCUGAUACGUCCUCUAUUGAAAAAGGGCAACUACUACUGAGUUCCAGCUAAUUGUCACAAUGAUACCCAAGGUUGACAGAUCUUCA